CAGAACUACCCCUCCUUAAAUCCAUAGUCAUUGACAUAAGUGUCAAGACAAGCCAGAAAACAGGAGGUUGAUGUGUUGUGGGCCGUCUGUAAAGUCCUAAAAUAUGCCCCUGAGGAUGCAAAAUCUGACCCAUCACACCACUCUUCAAGAGGGCCACUACGCUCCAGAUUGUCUUCUGUCCUCAGAGGUCCUUGUUGAGGAUCUACCCUAUCAUACCAUUCAUAUUGUUCAUUAAUAAAAUAAAACAAUGGGCCUUUA